rnacentral:rRNA from 1 species
UUGCACGCUGGCGGCAGGCCUCACACAUGCAAGUCGAGCGGAUGAAGGGAGCUUGCUCCUGGAUUCAGCGGCGGACGGGUGAGUAAUGCCUAGGAAUCUGCCUGGUAGUGGGGGAUAACGUCCGGAAACGGGCGCUAAUACCGCAUACGUCCUGAGGGAGAAAGUGGGGGAUCUUCGGACCUCACGCUAUCAGAUGAGCCUAGGUCGGAUUAGCUAGUUGGUGGGGUAAAGGCCUACCAAGGCGACGAUCCGUAACUGGUCUGAGAGGAUGAUCAGUCACACUGGAACUGAGACACGGUCCAGACUCCUACGGGAGGCAGCAGUGGGGAAUAUUGGACAAUGGGCGAAAGCCUGAUCCAGCCAUGCCGCGUGUGUGAAGAAGGUCUUCGGAUUGUAAAGCACUUUAAGUUGGGAGGAAGGGCAGUAAGUUAAUACCUUGCUGUUUUGACGUUACCAACAGAAUAAGCACCGGCUAACUUCGUG